UCGUGGGGCUCCGGCCCCGUCGAGAUAACACCCUUGCCUUUUUUUCGAGCUUUGUAUGUUUCCUCGGCAGGCCUGCCUGCCAACGGGGACCCACAAAACACCCUGCAGCACCUGUAAACUGCCUGAUACAACAAACAAUAAUCA
rnacentral:misc_RNA from 1 species